rnacentral:rRNA from 1 species
UAGGGAAUCUUCCACAAUGGACGCAAGUCUGAUGGAGUAACGCCGCGUGAGUGAAGAAGGUUUUCGGAUCGUAAAGCUCUGUUGUUGGUGAAGAAGGAUAGAGGCAGUAACUGGUCUUUAUUUGACGGUAAUCAACCAGAAAGUCACGGCUAACGACGUGCCAGCAGCCGCGGUAAUACGUAGGUGGCAAGCGUUGUCUGGAUUUAUUGGGCGUAAAGCGAGCGCAGGCGGAAUGAUAAGUCUGAUGUGAAAGCCCACGGCUCAACCGAGGAACUUCAUCGGAAACUAUCAUUCUGGAGUGCAGAAGAGGAGAGUGGAAUUCCAUGUGUAGCGGUGGGAUGCGUAGAUAUAUGGACGAGAGCCAGUGGCGAAGGCGGCGCGCUGGUCUGCAACUGACGCUGAGGCUCGAAAGCAUGGGUAGCGAACAGG